rnacentral:rRNA from 1 species
UUGGGGAAGAUUGCAACAUGUACCAUCUGGGGUCAGGAGGAUGAAGAUGAGUUCCACGCAGUGGUGGCGUGCACCAAAGCUAAAGCUCUCCGGAGUGAGAUGAGGAAAGUUUGGGCUUUACCCACAGAGAAAGAAUUCAGGUACACAGGGAGGGACUGGCUCCAAUGCCUCUUAGCGACGUGCGAUGAAGACACAAGGGAGAAGCUGAUGUCACUGUUCUCGAGAGCUUGGUUCCUACGCCAUGACUGCGUACAUGGAGAAGGAAAAGCAAGAGUUUCUGUAUCGGUUGACUUCGUUUUUUUAGCGUCUGAAAAAGGCGCUUUAUUAAUUAUGGAAUAG